UACGUAGGUGGCAAGCGAUACUCGGAAUCACUAGGCGUAAAGCGCAGGUAGGCGGUUUGGUAAGUCUUUUGUGAAAGCUCCCGGCUCAACUGGGAGAGGUCAAGGGAAACUACCGGACUUGAGUGUGGUAGGGGAUACUGGAAUUCCUGGUGUAGCGGUGAAAUGCGUAGAUAUCAGGAGGAAUACCUAUGGCGAAAGCAGGUAUCUGGGCCAUCACUGACGCUGAGCUGCGAAAGCUAGGGGAGCAAACAGG
rnacentral:rRNA from 1 species